UACGUAGGGUGCGAGCGUUGUCCGGAAUUAUUGGGCGUAAAGAGCUCGUAGGCGGCUUGUCGCGUCGGAUGUGAAAGCCCGGGGCUUAACCCCGGGUCUGCAUUCGAUACGGGCAGGCUAGAGUUCGGUAGGGGAGAUCGGAAUUCCUGGUGUAGCGGUGAAAUGCGCAGAUAUCAGGAGGAACACCGGUGGCGAAGGCGGAUCUCUGGGCCUUACCUGACGCUGAGGCGCGAAAGCUAGGGGAGCAAACAGG
rnacentral:rRNA from 1 species